AGUGAACGCUGGCGGUAGGCCUAACACAUGCAAGUCGAACGGCAGCACAGUAAGAGCUUGCUCUUACGGGUGGCGAGUGGCGGACGGGUGAGGAAUACAUCGGAAUCUACUUUUUCGUGGGGGAUAACGUAGGGAAACUUACGCUAAUACCGCAUACGACCUACGGGUGAAAGCAGGGGAUCUUCGGACCUUGCGCGAUUGAAUGAGCCGAUGUCGGAUUAGCUAGUUGGCGGGGUAAAGGCCCACCAAGGCGACGAUCCGUAGCUGGUCUGAGAGGAUGAUCAGCCACACUGGAACUGAGACACGGUCCAGACUCCUACGGGAGGCAGCAGUGGGGAAUAUUGGACAAUGGGCGAAAGCCUGAUCCAGCCAUACCGCGUGGGUGAAGAAGGCCUUCGGGUUGUAAAGCCCUGUUGUUGGGAAAGAAAAGCAGCAGGUUAAUCCACCGCUGUUCUGACGGUACCCAAAGAAUAAGCACCGGCUAACUUCGUG
rnacentral:rRNA from 1 species